CGGCCGAUAUCAGAUUAGGUAGUUGGUGACGGUAAAGGCUCACCCAAGCCGACGAUCUGUAGCUGGUCUGANAGGACGACCAGCCACACUGGGACUGAGACACGGCCCAGACUCCUACGGGAGGCAGCAGUGGGGAAUUUUGGACAAUGGGCGCAAGCCUGAUCCAGCAAUGCCGCGUGCAGGAUGAAGGCCUUCGGGUUGUAAACUGCUUUGUACGGAACGAAACGGUGAGCUCUAAUACAGUUUGCUAAUGACGGUACCGUAAGAAUAAGCACCGGCUAACUACGUG
rnacentral:rRNA from 1 species